GACGAACGCUGGCGGCGUGCUUAACACAUGCAAGUCGAGCGGUAAGGCCCUUUCGGGGGUACACGAGCGGCGAACGGGUGAGUAACACGUGGGUGACCUGCCCUUAGCUCUGGGAUAAGCCUGGGAAACUGGGUCUAAUACCGGAUAUGACUCCAUGACGCAUGUUGUGGGGUGGAAAGCCUUGUGCGGCUAGGGAUGGGCCCGCGGCCUAUCAGCUUGUUGGUGGGGUGAUGGCCUACCAAGGCGACGACGGGUAGCCGGCCUGAGAGGGCGACCGGCCACACUGGGACUGAGACACGGCCCAGACUCCUACGGGAGGCAGCAGUGGGGAAUCUUGCGCAAUGGGCGAAAGCCUGACGCAGCGACGCCGCGUGAGGGAUGACGGCCUGGU
rnacentral:rRNA from 1 species